rnacentral:snRNA from 16 species
AGGGUGACCAGCCGACAAAGUCCAGGUGCAUGCUGCAGCCGGACCAGCCAGGCGUGGCGAAUCACAGGGGGUGGGGGGAGGUCUU